rnacentral:rRNA from 1 species
UACGGAGGAUGCAAGCGUUAUCCGGAAUGAUUGGGCGUAAAGGGUCCGCAGGUGGCAGUGUAAGUCUGCUGUCAAAGAAUGAGGCUUAACCUUAUCAAGGCAGUGGAAACUACACAGCUAGAGUACGGUCGGGGUAGAAGGAAUUCCUGGUGUAGCGGUGAAAUGCGUAGAGAUCAGGAAGAACACCGGUGGCGAAAGCGUUCUGCUAGACCUGUACUGACACUGAGGGACGAAAGCUAGGGGAGCAAACAGG